rnacentral:rRNA from 1 species
UACGAAGGGGGCUAGCGUUGCUCGGAAUCACUGGGCGUAAAGCGCACGUAGGCGGAUUGUUAAGUCAGGGGUGAAAUCCUGGAGCUCAACUCCAGAACUGCCUUUGAUACUGGCGAUCUUGAGUCCGGGAGAGGUGAGUGGAACUCCGAGUGUAGAGGUGAAAUUCGUAGAUAUUCGGAAGAACACCAGUGGCGAAGGCGACUCGCUGGACAAGUAUUGACGCUGAGGUGCGAAAGCGUGGGGAGCAAACAGG